rnacentral:lncRNA from 1 species
GCUCUAAAAAUUCACUAUUCACUCAGAGCUUUACAUUGAAGCUCUGAGUUGAGCGAGAUUGACCUUUCCCUCUCAUAAAAAAACAACACAUCAAACCAAGAAGUAGAAGAAGAAUAGAGGAGUAAAAUAAGAACAAAAAAAAGCAAAGUGAAAUAGAGAUAGGGAAUGGUGUACAUCAGAAUUAACUUUGUAAUAAUUUUCAGAGUGUCACCUCUUUGACGUAUUUUUUUUUUUGCAUUUUCCCUGCUUGAUUCAUGUUAUAUGUUGUGUGUAGUAGUUUUCCCAGUGUUAUUAUGCUUAACUGUAUUUCGUUUGUGCUGAAUUGAAGUUUUUUGAACUUAGGGUGUUUUUUUCUGUUUGCUUCAUUACGAUGUUUUGGUGUGCAUUUUUUUGUUAAAUGGAUGUUUGAUUCAUGUUUAGGAGGAGAAUUGAGGCUAUUUUCAUGUUGGAGGAAGUGAGAUUUGAGGUGUUUGGCCGAGUUCUGGGUUUUCACGGUGUUCUGGUUGAAGUUUUCGAUAGAAACUCAAUCGGAACCUGGAAUUUGCAGUGGAGGUGAGGGUGCAGGUCGAUGUUCAUGAUGAAC